UUGAUUCACAUGUCGUCAGAGCUGGAGCAGAGCUCAGGGACAAGUGUGUGUAUGAUGUGAAGACGAUAGUACAGAGCAUCACACGCGGAUCCAGAAAUGAGGUGGAUAGACUUCGUGCCAUCUGGGUUUGGCUCUGUCACAACAUUGAGUAUGAUGUAAGCGGGUACCUGGGCCACUCGGAGAAGCUGACCUCCCCGGAGGAGGUGAUAGCGG